GGAUGUGUGUCCCUAUCUCUCAGGUACCUGGGGUUCUUUGCCAGGAGGAGAGAAGAGGUUCCUGCCUCUGUUUUUGUGGCCUUAACAAACCAGGUGUUGUGCUCCAGUUCUCGUCUGAGAUCCCUGAAGAAGAACAUCUUCCCACCCUUCAACAAGACAGGACCUAUCUUUAAAAGGGAACAAAGAGAACUCUGAGACUUACUAGCUCGCCUCACUUCCAUAGCUGGAGAGAUACUGGAGUACAUUCUUAAACUAUCAGUUUGUCAGCAGCACCAACAGGAUAGUUUGGUUCUUAGGACUAGUGAGCAUGGAUUUGUCAAGAACAAAUCAUUCCAAACCAAUCCUCUUUCCUUCUUCGGCAGGGUUCCGGGCCUAGUGAAGCCAGCUGAUCGCCCAGUGUCAUCACCCUGCCUGCUGGCUGGGCAGGGUAACUCCUCAGGUCACCACCCUCCUCUCCAGCCUGUCUUGGGCUUGGAGAGUGAGGAGAAGGGCGAGGGAUGACAUUGAACAUCCUCCAUCCAUCGCUUCAUCACCAGAGCAAGAUGGCCAGGCUCCUGAGGAUGUUCAGGAAGAAGGCUCUGCAGGCGGCCCCAGAGCCUGUGGAAAGCAGCUGCCAUCUUCCCCAGGAGCCGAGCGGCCCAACCCUCCCCAAUGGCGGGGAAGGAGCUCGCGGCCGGGCCAGGAGGUGGAAGUGCCCAGCCUUCUGGAAGAGGAAACCUGCUCCCGGUGCAGGCGCCGAGGUGGGAGAGGCACCGUCAAGGCCAAAAUGGAGCUGGGCCAGGAUGCAGC